rnacentral:lncRNA from 10 species
GUUUGCUGAAUCUCCUGGGUGUUUGAAAUCUCUCCAACUGGCCUUCAUGUAGGCUACAAACAGAGGAUUGCCUUGUAAUUCUUGUGUGUAUUUAAAGGCACCAUGCAAACAGAGAGUUGCUCAGAAAAGCAUCCUGACUUGCUGGAAUGAUGUAAAUACACAAACCAAGGCAUUACACACCAUGCAAGGCUCAGUGCAUGGCAAUAGAUUCAGAUACACAGAAGACCGUCAGAGAAGGUGACUGGUUCCUCUUCCUCUGCAGCAUGAGGCCUGAGAUGUCGUGAAGACCAGACACCUCAGCAGGUUUGAACUCAGCCACCGGAGUGCACAGCCAUUUCAGAUUCGUUUCUCUCACGUCUCCAACAACAAAAUACUAACAACCACCAACUGCUGUUGAGCACACACUAUGGUGCCAGGAACUGAUUUAGUGCUUUGCAUACAUUUUCUCAAUUAAUCCUAACUGGAGGCACGGACUAUUAUUAUCUCCGCUUUUCAAAAGUGGAAACACCGGCACAGAGAGAUUAAGCAACUUGCCCAAGGUCACACAGUGAGUAAUUGGUAGGGCUUGGGUUCAUACCCUGGCCAACUGCUCUAGAGCCUGAACUCUUAAUCUCUUUGCUCUGCUGCUGCCGUGUUAUGUGGUUAACACUUCCAGUGACAAAGCCUGUAGUAGCUAGGUUGGCAUCUGUUUAAUGUCUAACCCAUAAUGGUGAUUGUAUAAUAUGACUAAAAAUUUUUUAAAAAUCGAGCCUGUAAUUGAGGGCCUCUUUAGCUACAGUGUGCAGAAAACACAGGCUGCAGGGCUCUACCUGAGUCCCAUGCUCUCAUGAUCCAAAUUUCCAAAACAAGGCUAGGCCUAUCGAUGUUUGAAAUCUGCUUCUCAGUUCUGCGUUUGUGAUUUUACAAUGACUUCCGCAUUCAUUAGCAUCCCAUUAAUGGGCCAGUGUAUGGGAACAGUUGUACUAUGAAGGGAGGGGAUUUUUUUUUCUUUUCUUUUCCGUUAAAACCACAGGUCUACAGAAUGAAAAUGCUAAAUCUAAUGAGUGUAACCUGGAAAGUAAUUUCAUGGGCUGUAGUACUUUCAUGGCAAUAAUUCUUGGAUGUCAAAAGGAUAAGGACACAGUUUUCUGCUUCUAAUUUUAUUCUUAAAAAAUGAUGGUAUUGAGCUAUCCAUGGAGUGCUCCUGUAGAUUAAUUCCAGUUUUUCUUUUAUAGAGGAGAUUUAAGGGAAGUCUUAAUCUGCUUUAUAUUUAACUCUUAUCUCCACACUGUGAAUUAAAAAUAGAAUGCUGGACUGUAGCCUCACCUCCUGGACUCUCUGAGGGCUCAGGUUACUCCAGCAUAAGGCUGGGCUGCGAGCUGCUCCAGGUCUCUGGCUUGGUGCCCCUCCCGGACUUUCCAAACAGCUGCCUCUUUCUAAAUUUUUAUCCAAGAGCCACACAUUAACCUGUCUAAAGUGAGCAGUCCUUAUUCUGUGAUUCUUAAAUAACAUUUAGCAUUUUCCUCAGGUAAUUUUCAUUUUUCGUGAAACUCAGUGAGUUCUGAAUCCUUCCAGAAGCUAGUUUCAAAAACUGAGUCCUGUAGUCGAGUUCUCCUAAGUCCAUGCGUGAGGUGGAGUGAAAGCUAAAGAGCCUUUCCUCUUUUUUUCUCUUCAUCUGGUAAAAAUUUGCUCUGGAGUACGUCCCCUGAUUUCCCUUCUCCUCUCUCCCACUCUUCUCCCUUCCUUUUCCCAUUUCCGCACCUUUUCCUAAUCCUCUUUCCCAUUCCCUGUGUGUAUCUCUUCCUUCCCCAAGCCUGUGUCUGAGACAGCUGGAAAGGACAGGAAGAGUUUGGGUGUGGGGAGGAGCCGGAGCCAGGGCCGCUCCUUCUCACCCACUCACCCCAUUUCCAACCUGGAGCUUCAGAAAUACAAUCGAGGGUCAAAUUCAGUAACUAAUCAUUGGGUCGGUCCAGACCAAAAGAGGUAAGAAAUCCCUAUGGAAAUGUCUACUAUGGCUUUGGGUUUCUGGUUUUUCCAGCCGGGCAAAGGUUGCACAUCUGGUGAAUCUUGCCUGUCUGGUCCAAGUGCAGGGAGAAAGGGAACCACGUGGUAAGCACAGCAGCAGAGGCACUCUGUAGAUUCCGUCCUGCCUUCAGUGUAGACACACGUCCUCCAGCUCUUUUUCCUCCUUCGUCUUGCCCCACUAGCAAGUUUCAGUUCUAAAGUCUUAACCAAAAGGAGGCUAUUUUACGUGCUGUUAAUUGCAAAAAAUUGCCAUUUCUGGGGAAGCCUUUGUAUUUUUCACCACCACAAUCAUGAGAGCAAUGAUAGUGACCACUUACUGAGUGGGCUGGACUGUGGGGGUGCUGAAUGUAUAUUCAAAGAAAACAGAGCCCCUCAAAAAUGUGGGGCCACCCACCCCGUUGGCCAAAUGGCAACAUCCUCCAGGAUGAUGCUUUUGAAACUGUGGCGUGUUGAGUGAGUUUCACUGAACAUGAGAUCAAUUUAGUUGUGAAGACUGACGUUUUGAAAAAUAAACUAGAAAAGAAUGGGAUGGAACAAAACAGAAAACUAUCAGAGGAUUUGGAUGUGAUAGGAGUAUUAUUUUGUGAAACUUUGGUCUUGGUUAAAUACACACAUCUCAGUCUGUCUACAGUGGAGAGUCUGAUGGUGCUUACCAGGACCUGUGGGCUCCUCUACCUCUCCCAGCCUCGACAACCGGCCAUGUGACUGAGACCCUGUUGAUAGAAUGACACCGGGACAAUCUUGAAGCCACAUGAUCUCAGAGGCACAUGUGGAAGCAGCCUGGAUCCUGAGCCAUUAUUUGGAGGAAUGUCACCCAAAUGGAGUCACCUGGCCAGGGACAUCAGCUUUGGAUUUUGUGUAAAUGAAAAAUAAAUGUCUAUUUGGUUAAGCCAGAUUGUUUUACCUGCCUUGUGCACACGUUUGUGCUUGUGGGUGUGUGCAUGCCUAUGUGUGGGUGUGUGCAUGUGGCUUAUGCCACAACAUAUAUUUCUUAAUGCAGAUUUUAGUCAAAAACAUGUGAAAGCAAG